rnacentral:lncRNA from 1 species
AUAACAUGGGGUUACAUCAAUAGCAGGAAUUCUCUAAAUGCGGCAGUGACAUUUAACGCAGACAAUGACAGAUGAGUGUGGCACCCUGCUGGCAGCGCUGGCACUGGGCAGAGCUGUGCCCGGCUGGGGGCUGAGGGCACAGUGUUGUGCCAGCUGUGCUGGUGGCCAGCAGCUGCACCCGGGCGGAGCCGUGCCCGGCUGGGGGCUGAGGGCACAGUGUUGUGCCAGCUGUGCUGGUGGCCAGCAGCUGCAGAGCCCUCGCUGUUGCCUUGCAGGACGUGUCCGGCAACGCGGCGUUCCUGGCCUUCACCCCCUUCGGCUUCGUGGUUCUGCAGGGCAACAAGAGAGUUCACUUCAUCAAGUGGAACGAGGUGACCAAGAUGAAAUUCGAGGGGAAGACUUUCUACCUGUACGUAAGUCAGAAGGAGGAGAAGAAAAUCGUUCUCACCUACUUUGCCCCAACACCAGAAGCCUGCAAACACCUCUGGAAGUGUGGGAUCGAGAACCAGGCUUUCUACAAGUACGUGCUGCUUUGUGGGGCUCCAUCCAGGCACUGGGCUCAGUCACUGGCCAUGUGGCCUGUCCCAGUGGUCAGUCACUGGCCGUGUGGCCUGUCCCAGUGGUCAGUCACUGGCCGUGUGGCAUGUCCCAGUGGUCAGUCACUGGCCGUGUGGCAUGUCCCAGUGGCCCUGGCAGAGCCAGGUCUCUGCCCUGCAGGGUCCCUCUUUU